rnacentral:misc_RNA from 1 species
AGCAUCUGCCAUCUCUAUGUGUUUACAUGUGAAUAUUUUGCUGAUUUCUAGCAAAAUCCAAAUUUACACAAUUUCCCCGCAAUAUGAGCUCUCCAACAAGUAAAAAUGUCAGCGAGACGAACGGAAACAAGCCAAAGAAGACGGGUAAAACAAAUUCCACGACGAAAAGUGGCUCCAUGGACACGCGCGCGGAAUUGGCAGACCUCAUCAAAAAAAAGGCAGAGACCUCGGAACAGUUGGCCAACCUAGAACGGCAAAUAUACGCCUUCGAGGGAUCGUAUCUGGAGGACACCCAGCUAUGUGGGAACAUCAUUCGCGGCUGGGAGCGGUACCUGACCUCCAACAAGGCAACGAACUCGAAGGCCGACAAACGAAAUCGCAAGUUCAAGGAGGCCGAGCGGCUGUUCUCUAAAUCCAGCAUCACUUCGAUGGCUAUAUGUAAUCCUGAGCGCGCCAGCGAAUCGGAUUCUAUAACCAAUGAAGACUCCAGCGACAAUCAGAUCUCUCUGAACCAGAACACAACAACGGCCCACGAUGGAGCCACGACAAUCAAGAGCACACCAAAAGAUGAAAAGGGUAAGAAAGAAUUUAUGUUCGAAGACGAUGAAAUCGACGUUGUGGCGCUAUAGAUAUACCUAAGAAGCUAGAGGCUAUUCAAAUUAAGAAAGAACUGAGCUAACAACAAAAGGAUUUCAAGAUGCUAAAAGCAAAACAAAUCUGUGAUCAAAAUACUCAAUUUAAUAACAAGGUUAUAAAAAGGUUCCUUAGCUUUGCUAAACUAGUCAAAAUUUCAAGAAAUCCACUGCUCAAGAAUAAGGCUAGCGUUUAUAUAUUUGUAAUCGCACUAGAGUUUAAAAUUGUAUUAAGACAUUCUCCUUCGCAUCGGAAUGAAGGUAGUCUUGGCGGCGUAUCAGCCGGCGGAGGAGCAAGUGGUGGAGGCAUUGGAGGCUUGAGCUCCGGC